UGUGUGUUUUAAUGAUGCCAUAUCCUCCAUGGCAGGCGCUGUGUCGUCCGGGGAGCUUUUGGCGGGAGCCAGGCACGGAUUAAAGGCUACAAGAGAGGAAUGCCCGCCACAUGACCACCAGGAUGUCUGCACUCCUUGAUCUCAGAGAUCUCUGGGCAGGGCCGUCCAAAGGGUGAUGGAUACUGCAGGACCAGCCUGGUGCGUGUCUCCUGACCCCUCUUGAAGCCACAGGUUCUCCCAGAGCGAGAGCAGGGGCUCCACUCACUCCACUCACCCACCUCACAGUGCACUGUCAGGAGGUAGUUUAAGGUGCAGCCCUGGUUGAGUUUCAGGCCGAGGUCAUUGUCCCGGGACAGGUGAAGAGACAGAUGAACGAGUGGACGACAGGAGCAUUCAGCGCCUGUUUGCUCCCACAAUGAGCUCCCUCUGCCUGGCUAAAUGUGCCUAUGUGAGGGACAGAGGAGUAGUAACCCCAUAGAAAAACAUACCUGCAUCGAUGACCCCGCUGACCUUGUA